rnacentral:rRNA from 1 species
AUUGAACGCUGGCGGCAUGCCUAACACAUGCAAGUCGAACGAGUGGCGGACGGGUGAGUAAUGUCUGUGAAACUGCCCGAUGGAGGGGGAUAACUACUGGAAACGGUAGCUAAUCCCGCAUACCAUCGGAUUUGCCCAGAUGGGAUUGGCUAGUAGGUGGGGUAACGGCUAACCUAGGCGACGAUCCCUAGCUGGUCUGAGAGGAUGACCGGCCACACGGGAACUGAGACACGGGCAAGACUCCUACGGAGGGAAGAAGUGGGGAAUAUUGCACAAUGGGCGCAAGCCUGAUGAAGAAAUGCCGCGUGUAUGAAGAAGGCCUUCGGGUUGGAAAGUACUUUCAGCGAGGAGGCGUUAAUCGCAGAAGAAGCACCGGCUAACUCCGUGCCAGCAGCCGCGGUAAUAC